rnacentral:rRNA from 1 species
GAUGAACGCUGGCGGCGUGCCUAAUACAUGCAAGUCGAGCGAACAGACGAGGAGCUUGCUCCUCUGACGUUAGCGGCGGACGGGUGAGUAACACGUGGAUAACCUACCUAUAAGACUGGGAUAACUUCGGGAAACCGGAGCUAAUACCGGAUAAUAUAUUGAACCGCAUGGUUCAAUAGUGAAAGACGGUUUUGCUGUCACUUAUAGAUGGAUCCGCGCCGCAUUAGCUAGUUGGUAAGGUAACGGCUUACCAAGGCAACGAUGCGUAGCCGACCUGAGAGGGUGAUCGGCCACACUGGAACUGAGACACGGUCCAGCCUCCUACGGGAGGCAGCAGUAGGGAAUCUUCCGCAGUGGGCGAAAGCCUGACGGAGCAACGCCGCGUGAGUGAUGAAGGUCUUCGGAUCGUAAAACUCUGUUAUUAGGGAAGAACAAAUGUGUAAGUAACUAUGCACGUCUUGACGGUACCUAAUCAGAAAGCCACGGCUAACUACGU